rnacentral:rRNA from 1 species
GACGAACGCUGGCGGCGUGCCUAAUACAUGCAAGUAGAACGCUGAAGAGAGGAGCUUGCUCUUCUUGGAUGAGUUGCGAACGGGUGAGUAACGCGUAGGUAACCUGCCUUGUAGCGGGGGAUAACUAUUGGAAACGAUAGCUAAUACCGCAUAACAAUGGAUGACCCAUGUCAUUUAUUUGAAAGGGGCAAAUGCUCCACUACAAGAUGGACCUGCGUUGUAUUAGCUAGUAGGUGAGGUAACGGCUCACCUAGGCGACGAUACAUAGCCGACCUGAGAGUGUGAUCGGCCACACUGGGACUGAGACACGGCCCAGACUCCUACGGGAGGCAGCAGUAGGGAAUCUUCGGCAAUGGGGGCAACCCUGACCGAGCAACGCCGCGGGAGUGAAGAAGGUUUUCGGAUCGUAAAGCUCUGUUGUAAGUCAAGAACGAGUGUGAGAGUGGAAAGUUCACACUGUGACGGUAGCUUACCAGAAAGGGACGGCUAACUACGUG